UAUUGGACAAUGGGGGCAACCCUGAUCCAGCCAUGCCACGUGUGUGAAGAAGGCCUUUUGGUUGUAAAGCACUUUAAGCUGUGAAGAAGACUCUAUGGUUAAUACCCAUAGACGAUGACAUUACCUGCAGAAUAAGCACCGGCUAACUCUGUGCCAGCCGCCGCGGUAAUACAGAGGGUGCAAGCGUUAAUCGGAAUUACUGGGCGUAAAGCGAGCGUAGGUGGCUUAAUAAGUCAGAUGGGAAAUCCCCGGGCUUAACCUGGGAACUGCAUCUGAUACUGUUGGGCUAGAGUAGGUGAGAGGGAGGUAGAAUUUCAGGUGUAGCGGUGAAAUGCGUAGAGAUCUGAAGGAAUACCGAUGGCGAAGGCAGCCUUCUGGCAUCAUACAGACACUGAGGUUCGAAAGCGUGGGUAGCAAACAG
rnacentral:rRNA from 1 species